rnacentral:tRNA from 1 species
GUGGUGGCUCAGUGGUAGAGCACUCACCUAGCACAUGCGAGGCCCUGGGUUCAAUCCUCAGCACUACA